UCGUCUGUGGAAGAAGUGAUUGGACUAUUGGCUUGUCGAAGCUUUGGUCCAGGAAAGUCGCCGGGCCACCUAUCCGCAGAGAUGCGGCCUCGGCACAACGAGAUAGUCUUCUGCUUGGAGAGACAUUAACCGGCUGAGACGCGUGUGGAGCCUUCACGGUCUCUCCAGCAAAGAUAUUCAUGGCCAGUGUAAACUGUAAUUCACUUGGGUCCCCUCAAGGGAUUCCCCAGAACGGGGCUUACUUCCACUGACA
rnacentral:SRP_RNA from 1 species